rnacentral:lncRNA from 1 species
GACCUCUCUGGGCCAUGUGCGGGGAGUUGAGGGACCUUGUUCUCCCACUGACAACACUUUGAGCUUCCAAGUUGUCAUACUGAGGAUUCACCGUCUCCAGGCGGGGGUUGGGGCUGACCCUUCCACUGUCCCCGUCACUGAUGCCAGCACUUCACACUCAUGUGGACGCAUCGUGGGCCUUCUACAUAUGCUGAGACAGCUGUGGGUCUGUGCCCAACACCCACAGGGCUCCAGAAAAUGCUGAGCAGGAAGAAGGGCUGCGUGGGGAGGCAGGAGGGCAGAGGGGCCUGAGAGCUGGGCAGGCAGCCAGAGCCCUGAAGACUCAUCAGGAGCUGGGACGGAAUGCACGCGUGAGCCGAGCCCAAGCAGACCCUCCAUCGGUCAGGGCUGGCCCUGGGGGAGCCAGUUCCCAGCUCAGGGGCCGGCAAGCAGGCCCACGGACGCUGCCUGGGCCUCCUCCUGCAGACCAGCCCUCCAACUAGCCCGAGACAAAACACUGGAGAGGGCCCACCUCCCGCGGUCAAGGUGAAGGGUAAAGGAGACAGCGUUCGCUCAGGCAGCGCCAGACACACAGCAGGUGCUUCAGCAUUACUGUCACAAACCCAGGCAAAGCCCAGGGCUGAGGCGAGUAACAUCACUUCCAACGGACACGGAGGCGAUCCAUCCCCAGCAACUUGGCCACUGAGUGAGGCAGGUUAGGGCCCUGGCUCCUGUUCUUUUCACAUCAAAUGAGAAAGAUGUGCAGCUUGGCACAUGUUUGUGGCACACCCACAUCCUUGUUGCCAGGAUGGCAUCCCUGCCCUUCAGGAGCAUCCUGGUCAAUGGGGUCUGCUCUGUUCCAGGCAGUGGAGGUGACAGGGGUUGGGAGAUGAGAUGGAUACCCUAAAAGUUAAUAUCUUACCUAUAUAUAAACUGAAUAGCCUAAUAAUUACCUGAUGGCAAAGGAGGUGUGGAAGGCCAUAGUGAAUCCCAGGAGGGCACAAUACUUUGGGGGGGCCAUGAGUUCACGCCA